AUACUUACCUGGACGGGGUCGAUAGGCGAUCAAGAAGGCCUAUGUCCUAAGGCAGUGACCUCCAUUGCACUUGGGAGGGGUGCUGCCUUAAGGUCUCCCCAAGAGGGAGAGCCUACGUCAUAAUUUGUGGUAGUAGGGGCCUGCGUUCGCGCGGCCCCUGU